UACGUAGGGUGCAAGCGUUGUCCGGAAUUAUUGGGCGUAAAGAGCUCGUAGGCGGCUUGUCGCGUCGGCUGUGAAAACCUGGGGCUCAACCCCGGGCCUGCAGCCGAUACGGGCAAGCUAGAAUUCGGUAGGGGAGACUGGAAUUCCUGGUGUAGCGGUGAAAUGCGCAGAUAUCAGGAGGAACACCGGUGGCGAAGGCGGGUUGCUGGGCUGACACUGACGCUGAGGCGCGAAAGCUAGGGGAGCGAACGGG
rnacentral:rRNA from 1 species